rnacentral:rRNA from 1 species
GCAUAUCAAUAAGCGGAGGAAAAGAAACUAACAAGGAUUCCCCUAGUAACGGCGAGUGAGCGGGAAGAGCUCAAAUUUGAAAUCUGGUGGCCUCAGGUCAUCCGAGUUGUAAUCUAUAGAAGUGUUUUCCGUGCUGGCUCAUGUACAAGUCCCUUGGAACAGGGCGUCAUAGAGGGUGAGAAUCCCGUCCUUGACAUGAACUACCAGUGCUCUGUGAUACAUUUUCAACGAGUCGAGUUGUUUGGGAAUGCAGCUCAAAAUGGGUGGUAAAUUCCAUCUAAAGCUAAAUAUUGGCGAGAGACCGAUAGCGAACAAGUACCGUGAGGGAAAGAUGAAAAGCACUUUGGAAAGAGAGUUAAACAGUAUGUGAAAUUGUUGAAAGGGAAACGAUUGAAGUCAGUCGUGCUCUUUGGAUUCAGCCGGUUCUGCCGGUGUACUUCCUUUGAGUGGGGUCAACAUCAGUUUUGAUCGCUGGAUAAAGGCUGGAGGAACGUAGUACCCUCGGGUAAACUUAUAGCCUCCUGUCACAUACAGUGGUUGGGACUGAGGAACGCAGCACGCCUUUAUGGCCGGGAUUCGUCCACGUACGUGCUUAGGAUGUUGACAUAAUGGCUUUAAACGACCCGUCUUGAAC